rnacentral:rRNA from 1 species
AUUGAACGCUGGCGGCAUGCCUUACACAUGCAAGUCGAACGGUAACAGGUCUUCGGAUGCUGACGAGUGGCGAACGGGUGAGUAAUACAUCGGAACGUGCCCGAUCGUGGGGGAUAACGAAGCGAAAGCUUUGCUAAUACCGCAUACGAUCUACGGAUGAAAGCAGGGGACCGCAAGGCCUUGCGCGAACGGUGCGGCCGAUGGCAGAUGAGGUAGUUGGUGGGCUAAACGCUUACGAAGCCGACGAUCUGUAGCUGGUCUGAGAGGACGACCAGCCACACUGGGAGUGAGACACGGCCCAGACUCCUACGGGAGGCAGCAGUGGGGAAUUUUGGACAAUGGGGGAAAGCCUGAUCCAGCCAUGCCGCGUGCAGGAUGAAGGCCUUCGGGUUGUAAACUGCUUUUGUACGGAACGAAAAGACUCUGGUUAAUACCUGGGGUCCAUGACGGUACCGUAAGAAUAAGCACCGGCUAACUACGUG